UACUUGAGAAGGUUGUCCUUCCACUCGAUGUUGCACCUCCAGCAAAGAGGGGAAUAUGCACUGUGUUGCCAUCUCCUAAUGUUUGGUUCUCUCUGAAUUUCUGCAUCAUAAUACAUCACCGCUGCAACCAAUUAAUUCAGCUUCUCGGACGAGUGUGCUUCGUAAUCCAGACAUGGAGAAGCUUUAGAAUGGUUACUUAUUCCCAGAGGAUUAGCAUGAGAUGUGAAGCACACCAGAAGAAGUACCCAGACGCCAAGGUCAUCAGUUUGGGCAUCGGUGACACGACCCAACCCAUACCAAGCAUCUUCACAUCUACCAUGACCGAGGCUUUGCCCUUUAGUAAUUUCCUUGUCGGUCUGCCCGUACAGGUAUCUAGGAUUAUUGAUGGUGACAUGGAUGAUUCCUGUGGUCUGGAGAAGGUUGCUUCCAGUCACUUGCCUAGCUAAAUGCCAAUGCAUGAGAUAGCAUUUGCGUCAACUGAUAAGUCAGAGCUACUUAGUCAUGUAAACAAACUUAUAGGACAUGGUGAGCCAAGAUUAGUACAGUUCUUUACUGUUGAAAUUUGUAAGGGGAUUUAUGGAAGGUUUGUUUAUCUCUCCUCCCACUCCAAAUUUCAGUAUAACAUUUCUAGCACUGGCAUUUUUCCUCAAAAGUAUUUUGGCCUACAUUCAUGGUAAGCAUAUUGUAGAUAGUAUUCCAUUAUCACUGAUAUUUUCCAGUUGUAGAUGUAGAUGUAAUUCUGUUUCUAUAGAAAUAUGGUUGCUGCGUAGCAUAUUUUCUUACUAGAAGGUACUUAUGUCCCCACUGAAUGGACCAAAUGCUUUUUUUUUCACUAGCUCCAACACAUUUUCGUUAGAAAUUCUAUUGGAUGGGUAGAUAUCUUGCUAGAUUUUAAGAUUUAGGAGCCCAAGAGCAAUUUACUAUUUUCUCCAAUAUGGAAAUGAAGUAUGCUGUGGGGGGUGGAUGUACUACAAACUGAUCUAAAAUAAAGAAAGAGCAAUCUUUGGGUGACAAUGAGAUUCAUGGAGACUCAAUGCAGAUUGUCUUUCCUUCCCGUUUGUUUCUUAUUCUUGUCAUCUCAUGUAGUAUAUGCUUUUGUGCUGAAUUACAUGGAAGGUCGAGAUGACCGCACCUACAUAAAUGUUUUUUUGCUAUUUUUCUUAAUGUAUGGAUGCCUACUGACCCUAAGUAUAUUUGUUUAAAAUGUUUACCUAUGAAGUUCCUAUGCUAUAUAAGAAAGUUGGUCUGAACUAUUUGAGGUCAUGUUCUAUUUUACAGGUUACUCGUAUAGUUGCAUAGCUGAUUCAGUUAUAGUAGUCCAGAACAAGUGUUUGUAUCUAUCUUAACUUUCAGGUUACUUGUAUUGCAUAUUGAUUGAUUUUGUGCAUGCUCCUACGCUAGAUUUUUUUU